AUGAUGAGCGGCGGCGUCAGCGGCAUGGAGUCGUCGUCCUCAUCCGGGAGCUCCUCUGGUUCGGCUGCCGGGGCGGGGGUGGCGCCGUUCGUGGCCAAGACUUACGGGAUGGUGGACGACCGGCCCACCGACGCCGUCGUCGCGUGGGGGCCCGCCGGCAACAGCUUCGUCGUCGCCGACCCCUUCGCCUUCUCGGAGAUGCUGCUGCCCGCGCACUUCAAGCAUUCCAACUUCUCCAGCUUCGUCCGGCAGCUCAACACCUACGGCUUCCGCAAGGUGGACCCGGACCGGUGGGAGUUCGCGCAUGCCUCCUUCCUCCGCGGCCAGACGCACCUCCUGCGCCACAUCGUCCGGCGCCAGAGCAGCGGUACCGGAGGCAGGCGCGGCAAGGACGACCGCGAAGAUGAAGACGGCAGCAGCGCGAUGUUAGCCAUGGAGGUGGUCCAGCUGAGGCGGGAGCAGAGGGCCACCGAGGAGCGCGUGGCGGCGAUGUGGCGCCGGGUGCAGGAGACGGAGCGCCGGCCCAAGCAGAUGCUCGCCUUCCUGCUCAAGGUGGUCGGCGACCCCGACAUGGUGCGCCGCCUCGCAGGCAGCGGCCAGGACGAGGACGCGCGGGUCAACAGGCCGCGGCUGCUUCUCGACAGCAGGGAAGAACAGAGGAUGCCCGUCGACGGGCAGUCGUACCACAAUCACAGCAACCUGAACAUGGAGGAGGCCUAUGUGCUGGAGCCCAGCGUGGAAUUGUACUACGCCGGAGGCGACGUGCAGGCGGACGGCGGCGGACACCCGCCGUACGCGUUCCACGUCAACAGCGGCUACUGA
rnacentral:rRNA from 1 species